AAACAAAAUUUAUAAAAUUUUCGUUUUUGUAUUCUUACUAAACCGCGUAUGAAUUUGUCUCGAAUAUGACGAAGAAAUUUUUUUCGUAGAUUUCGUCUUUCCAAAAUUAGAGCAAAAUACGUUUUGAAAGAAAAUAGAAAGCAAAAUCAGAAGCCACACUAAAAAGAAUAAAGCUGCGGAAGUUUGUGCUCCGGGUUUGUGCGGAAUAAAAGUGGCGACUGCCAGUUAGAUGGUAAAUAGUAUCCAUCGCAGUAACGGCACUUGUCCAAUCAUUCCUCAGAAUGACGAAAAAAUCUCAAUGCGCACAUUUCACUCAAUAACGAAGUUUGCAAAGGUAUUGGUGUUGGGUGGAACUUGCCAAAAUUGCUGACUGAACCACCGGUUUGAGCAAAACAGAUUUAGGGGCUACUUUCCAUUGGGCGACAGUGAUUUGGAGUUAGAAACUACAUGAUGUGUCAACGUUUACAUCCCAAUCUGCGCACUGAACGGGCUUACAAUGAAUAUCAAAUACCUCCACCUUCGAGUGUACUUCUGACAUGAAAAUCAAAAAUCAAAUGCCCCUCAAAAACAAAAAAAAAAAAAAAAAAAAAA